UAGUUUAUCUCUUGAUAAACUACCUUAACUAGAAAUAUGUUAUAGGCUUAAACAUGGAAUAGCUCUACAAGAAAAAGAAGGAAAAAUGAGUACCUAGAACUUACUAUGAUACGUCGAUUUUUUUCAAACGUAGCUGGACGUUCCAUUUGUUUAUAAGUUUUGUAAGUUCGUCCACUAGCAACACUAUAGAUGGUUCUUUGUGCUGGAGAGCACAGGAGUGAGAAGUAUCUCAUUUCUACCAUUCUAACAAGACCCUACAAUCCAUUUGAAGUGAAAGUUGAGGUGGAAGUGUGCCAUAAGGAGCGUAUUGAAUGAAGAAGGUGAUCCCUUUGAAAAGGGAAAUAUAGCACGAUGGAUGAAUGAGGAGAGGUCCUGAGACUUGGAAAUAGCUUCAGGAGUUUAGAGGGGGCUAAAAAGGCUUUAAGGAGAUCCAGGAGAGUGAAGGAGGCAGAACUAGUGGAUGGCCUGUCCAAAGAUGUUAAAAGAUGAACCAGUGGAGAGUAGUCAGAAGAGCAGAGAUUAGGAAUACUGAGUUUGCAGUAUUAGUGGGUGAACUACCUUGAACUGUGCUGAACUAGCUCAGUAUAGAGGGGGCAGUUCAACUUAGUGCAUAAAACUUCUCCAAUGGGGCACAUGCUAAUUUUGUCCAGGGGUCUCUAUUUUCUGUGUCCCCUUCAUUCAUGUUUAAUUUGUCAUUAUGGCAACUAAAAAACACAGUUUCUUUUUGCAUCAUGAAUCUGGAUGAACUGGGUCAGGGAGGGACACAGGUUGCAUGUAUCUGUAGGUAUUAGGCAGGCAAAAUAGUAAGCCUAUUGGGGUGCACCUUGGUAGGAAAUGCACAAAUGAAGAACUAUCAGUAGACAUUUGCUGUACAAAGAACCAGCUCCAUGGUGGAGAACUGCUACCACCUGCUGAAAGCAGAUUAAUGUAUUGGUGCCACCUGGCUUUCACCCAGGCUCUGUUCUCACUUCUCUAGAGGCUGCAUUACUAUUUACCUGUUACACAGCCUAUGGCACAGUAGCCCUUUGGAACAGACUUUACUCAGCAAUGUGUGCAAGACAGUGUAGCGUGCUGGUAACGUAAUUCUGUAGCAGACCCAGUAACCACUAGCCUGGGGCAUACUAUAGUGCCUAAGCUUUCCACAAGGAAAUCCGCCCUUGCUGGAUCAAUUGCUAGUUCAGGAUGCACCGUGCUGGCCAGUGCAUGAUGUAACAGUUAGUUUUUGCAGCUGGGCCAUUGGUUAUAUACAGUAUAGUUACUAGUUUCAAACUAGAUUUUUAGAUUACCUUCUGUGCGUAUGGUUUUCCCUGUAUACAAUGAUGCAGAAGUUUUGAUACCCCCAUGUUCUGUAAAAUUAGCAAAGCAGUCAGUGGAGAGAGUGUUGCUCUUGCAAAUAUUUUUCUUAACCUUUAAGUAACUGUAAUUGAUUGCUGUCUGAGUGAAGAGUCUUAAAACCAACAAAAAAAGUGUUGGUUUUAAGACUUGUAUAGUAGACUUAAAUACAAAUAUUUACUAUACUAUACAGAUUUCAUGUUCUUCUCAGAGCUGUUUUGGCAGGACUUUGUUAGUCUUUGACCAUGGUUGUUGGAUUACUAUAAAAGUGCACAUGCAUCUCUAAUAUUGUUUGUUUAUUUUUCCAACACUUUACACUCCCAUCCUUCUGCUUUUUAUUAACACACCAAUAGACCUCAUAAAUGCAGCAACUCAAUUUACUGUUCUACAACAUCCAAAUCCAACAGGUUUACUUUUUGGAAAGUUCCCUGGAAAGAUUAGGUUUUUUAGGUGGCUUUUAACACAUUUGUUUUAUGGCAGCAAUGAUGUCUAGAACUAAUUCUUAAAUUGAUAGAUUGCAUCUUAAUAGAUAUUACCACAUUUUUGGUUAAUUAGAUGGUAUGUUUAUUAAACUAUAUACACCUCGCUUCUGUUGAGGUGAAUAUCUUGUUUACCUAAGAGGUAAAUAUUAGAAUUAACAGUAACUUAAUAUUCAGAAGUUUAAAGUUAAAAAUACACCCAUUAUUACAUGUAGAAACUGUGUAACAAACAUCUAGGUUAAGUGCUUAUAGAGCUAAAAUGCAUGAUAUUAUAAUAUGUAUAAUACCUGGACAUUUCCUUCAUGGCCAUAACCAUUUUUCUUUAAGCACGUCAGUUCUAAGUAGAAGAUUGAGUUUAAAGAUACGUGUUCUCACUCCCAAGGAUCAGUACAAGCUAUGCAUAGUGUAUUAUAGUAUUUACCUCCUAAGGCCUGGAACUGAAUCUUAGCUGCAACGCUGAGUCAGGAACCAUAAAACAGUUUGUCUCAUGUAUUCAGCAAUAGAAAUUAAUCAAAUUCUGCCCAGUGACAUGGAUCCAAUUCACCAAUAAC